UACGUAGGGCGCAAGCGUUGUCCGGAAUUAUUGGGCGUAAAGAGCUCGUAGGCGGCCUGUUGCGUCCGCUGUGAAAUCCCGGGGCUCAACCCCGGGCGUGCAGUGGAUACGGGCUGGCUGGAGGCAGGCAGGGGAGAACGGAAUUCCUGGUGUAGCGGUGGAAUGCGCAGAUAUCAGGAGGAACACCGGUGGCGAAGGCGGGUCUCUGGGCCGUUACUGACGCUGAGGAGCGAAAGCGUGGGGAGCGAACAGG
rnacentral:rRNA from 1 species